GACGAACGCUGGCGGCGUGCUUAACACAUGCAAGUCGUACGGUAAGGCCCUUUCGGGGGUACACGAGUGGCGAACGGGUGAGUAACACGUGAGUAACCUGCCCACAACUUUGGGAUAACGCUAGGAAACUGGUGCUAAUACUGGAUAUGUGCUCCUGCUGCAUGGUGGGGGUUGGAAAGCUCCGGCGGCUGUGGAUGGACUCGCGGCCUAUCAGCUUGUUGGUGGGGUAGUGGCCUACCAAGGCGGCGACGGGUAGCCGGCCUGAGAGGGUGACCGGCCACAUUGGGACUGAGAUACGGCCCAGACUCCUACGGGAGGCAGCAGUGGGGAAUAUUGCACAAUGGGCGCAAGCCUGAUGCAGCAACGCCGCGUGCGGGAUGACGGCCUUCGGGUUGUAAACCGCUUUCAGCAGGGACGAAGCUUUUUGUGACGGUACCUGCAGAAGAAGCACCGGCUAACUACGUG
rnacentral:rRNA from 1 species